rnacentral:rRNA from 1 species
CCUACGGGAGGCUGCAGUGGGGAAUAUUGCACAAGGGGCGCAAGCCUGAUGCAGCCAUGCCGCGUGUGUGAAGAAGGCCUUCGGGUUGUAAAGCACUUUCAGCGGGGAGGAAGGCGUUAAGGUUAAUAACCUUGGCGAUUGACGUUACCCGCAGAAGAAGCACCGGCUAACUCCGUGCCAGCAGCCGCGGUAAUACGGAGGGUGCAAGCGUUAAUCGGAAUUACUGGGCGUAAAGCGCACGCAGGCGGUCUGUCAAGUCGGAUGUGAAAUCCCCGGGCUCAACCUGGGAACUGCAUUCGAAACUGGCAGGCUAGAGUCUUGUAGAGGGGGGUAGAAUUCCAGGUGUAGCGGUGAAAUGCGUAGAGAUCUGGAGGAAUACCGGUGGCGAAGGCGGCCCCCUGGACAAAGACUGACGCUCAGGUGCGAAAGCGUGGGGAGCAAACAGGAUUAAUACCCCUGUAGUC